rnacentral:lncRNA from 1 species
UUUUCCAUUAGGCAUCCUCUUCACAAAGUGCCAAAAUAAUUUUGUUCCAGCCUUGAUGCUCUACCAGAUAUUGCCCAUAGCCAUUGUUCUCAAUAUCUAGAACUUCAUAGAAAGCAUUGAUAGCUUGGCUAUGGAAUGACACUUGUUUACCUCUCACAAAAACAACAACAUUAUUAUAUUUGGGACAAUUAGCAUAAAAUUUUCUUAAAACUAGAUAAC